AACCUACUACCUCAAUUGGUAGAGCAUUGUGCCUUUGCACAAAGGUUGUAGGUUCAAAUCCUACGUAGGUUG
rfam:Beta vulgaris subsp. vulgaris Bvchr6.sca012.con0068.1, whole genome shotgun sequence.